rnacentral:rRNA from 1 species
GAUCAAGCUACAAAGAGCAUAUAGGGAAUGCCUUGGCACUAAACGCCGAUGAAGGACGCAACUAACUGCGAUAAGCCACGGGGAGCUGUAAAUGAGCCGUGAUCCGUGGAUUUCCGAAUGCGGAAACGCACUAUGGUGGAGCCAUAGUAUCAUAACAUGAAUACAUAAUGUUAUGAGGGGAACCUAGGGAACUGAAACAUCUAAGUACCUAGAGGAAAAGAAAGUAAAUCAACGAUUACCUAAGUAGUGGCGAGCGAACGGGUAACAGCCCAAACCAUUGGAAGCAAUUCCGAUGGGGUUUCGGACUCAGACGUUGCUGAAGUACUUAUAGUUGAACAUACCUGGAAAGGUGGGCGAAACAGAGUAAUAGCCUCGUAAGCGAAAUGAGUAUCAAGCAUAUGAGUAUCCAGAGUAGCGUGGGACACGUGAAAUCCUGCGUGAAGAUAGGAGGACCAUCUCCAAAGGCUAAAUACGAUUUAGUGACCGAUAGCGAAUAGUACCGUGAGGGAACGGUGAAAAGAACCCCGGGAGGGGAGUGAAAUAGAACCUGAAACUAUAUGUUUACAAGCAGAGAAAGCUCUACGUAGCAAUACAGAGCGAUCUCGUACUUUUUGUAGAACGGGCCGGCGAGUUACUGUAUGUAGCGAGGUUAAGUGAUUAAGUCACGGAGCCGAAGCGAAAGCGAGUCUUAAUAGGGCGACUUAGUUGCAUGCAGUAGACCCGAAACGAGACGACCUAUCCAUGAGCACGUUGAAGCAGAGGUAACACUCUGUGGAGGACGGAACACACUCCUGUUGAAAUAGUAGGUGAUGACUUGUGGAUAGCGGAGAAAUUCCAAUCGAGUCUCGAUAUAGCUGGUUCUCCUCGAAAUAGCUUUAGGGCUAGCCUCUGUGUAAAGAUAGUUGGGGGUAGAGCACUGAAUGGUCUAGGGGGCUUCGCGGCUUACCGAAACUUAUCAAACUCCGAAUACCAACGUAUCGAUAGCAGGGAGUCAGACUGCGAGAGAUAAGUUCCGUAGUCAAAAGGGAAACAGCCCAGACCUACAACUAAGGUCCCUAAUGUACAGUUAAGUGUGGAAGGAUGUGUAAACGCAUAGACAACCAGGAUGUUGGCUCAGAAGCAGCCAUUCAUUAAAAGAGUGCGUAAUAGCUCACUGGUCGAGUGGGUAUGCGCCGACAAUAAUCGGGGCUAAACUGUAAACCGAAGUUUGGGAAUAUAUAUUUUUAUAUAUUGGUAGAGGAGCAAUGUAUGCGGGCUGAAGCGUAAUCGAAAGGGUACGUGGACUGCAUACAAGAGAGAAUGCCGGCAUGAGUAGCGCGAGCGUAGAUAUAAUCUACGCGGUCGAAUGUCCAAGGUUUUCUGGGGAAGGUUGAACCACCCAGAGUAAGUCGGGGCCUAAGCUGAGGGCGAAAGCCGUAGGUGAUGGACAACAGGUAGAUAUUCCUGUACCACUUAAUGUAGACCAAGAGUCGAGGCAGGGACGCAGAAGGAUAGUGCAACCGUGGGAAUGGAAAUCCACGGCUAAAUCACGAGUAGGAUUAGGUAGUGAAGUACGCCAAAUUAUUAACUAUGAGUGAUGAUGGGGAGUGAAUAUAGUAGCGAAGUGCAUGAAUUCACGCUGACGAGAAAAGCUGCUAGAUAUACAUUGAGUGCCCGUACCCCAAACCGACACAGGUGGACGAUGAGAGAAUCAUAAGACUGGCGGGAUAACCUUUGUUAAGGAACUCGGCAAAAUGACCUCGUAACUUCGGGAGAAGAGGUGCCCAUCGCAAGAUGGGUCGCAGAGAAUCAGCCCAAGCAACUGUUUACCAAAAACAUAGGUUUCUGCAAAAUCGUAAGAUGAUGUAUAGGAGCUGACGCCUGCCCAGUGCUGGAAGGUCAAGGGGAGAUGUUAGAGCAAUCGAAGCAUUGAACUUAAGCCCCAGUGAACGGCGGCCGUAACUAUAAC